CUUGUACACUAUAUUAGGUAAUGCCUGCCCGGUGACCAUGUGUUAAACGGCCGCGGUAUUCUGACCGCGCAAAGGUAGCGUAAUCACUUGUCUUCUAAAUAAAGACUAGUAUGAACGGCCACACGAAGACUUGACUGUCUCCCCUGUCCAAUCAGUGAAACUAAUCUCCUCGUGCAGAAGCGAGGAUACACUCAUUAGACGAGAAGACCCUAUGGAGCUUUAAACUCAAUAUUAAUUAUAUUUAACUCUUCUCUAAGGAACUAAUCAACUUCUUAAACUUAAUAUUAGUUUUAGGUUGGGGCGACCAUGGAGAAAAAAAUAUCCUCCCUGAUGAUUUUCUAACCAAGAGCUACAGCUCUAAGUAUUAAGAUACUUAACUCCCAUUGACCCAUUUUAUGAUCAACGAACCA
rnacentral:rRNA from 1 species